rnacentral:lncRNA from 1 species
UUUAUAUUUUUCCAUCAUUAUAUCAUAUUGCUCUCAAUUAUUAGCGAUAUAAACCUUUGUAGCUGCCGGUCAUUUCUCUCUCUCUCUCGCACCCUCUCUCCCUUUCUCUAAGCAAGCUAAAACACAACAAGAAUAAAACCUAUGGCUGGUAUGCUUCCAGGAGUUGAGUGCGCGAGGAGGCGGCGCUUUCACGGCGGUGCUCCACCGAUUGACUUAUCCAACACGGCUUCUGUGGCGGCAGCAACGGGACACGUAUGGACUCGCCGACCAUCCUUCUCUCUCUACACUACCAAUCACGAGAGUCACCAAGCCUAUGUCUCCUUCUCGGUAAUGAAACGACUAAAAUAAAAGAAAAAAGUUCAAACAUUUUCUUGGCAGGAAAGAUUGUAACUUACACAAUUUAUAAAAUUAUAGGAGAGAAAUGUUAGGAACAAAUCUUACGGUGUUGAUAACGACGAGAAGCUCUUUAAUUACAAUAUAAUGUUUCAUAUCUUUACUAAAGUCUGUACCUUCAAGAUGUAAAAGUUUGUUUUUUGUCAAAAGGCCUUCAGUCAAGAUGGAAAAAAUAGGGGAAAAGGAAAUUCUAAUGCUAAAUAAGAAACUGUUAUAUAAUUUAAAACUAACUUUUAGAUUAAUUUUUUUUGAACUUUUAACUAACUUUUAGUUUAUACCUAACUAACCCAUCUUUAUAUUUUUCCAUCAUUAUAUCAUAUUGCUCUCAAUUAUUAGCGAUAUAAACCUUUGUAGCUGCCGGUCAUUUCUCUCUCUCUCUCGCACCCUCUCUCCCUUUCUCUAAGCAAGCUAAAACACAACAAGAAUAAAACCUAUGGCUGGUAUGCUUCCAGGAGUUGAGUGCGCGAGGAGGCGGCGCUUUCACGGCGGUGCUCCACCGAUUGACUUAUCCAACACGGCUUCUGUGGCGGCAGCAACGGGACACGUAUGGACUCGCCGACCAUCCUUCUCUCUCUACACUACCAAUCACGAGAGUCACCAAGCCUAUGUCUCCUUCUCGGUAAUGAAACGACUAAAAUAAAAGAAAAAAGUUCAAACAUUUUCUUGGCAGGAAAGAUUGUAACUUACACAAUUUAUAAAAUUAUAGGAGAGAAAUGUUAGGAACAAAUCUUACGGUGUUGAUAACGACGAGAAGCUCGUAGGAGCAGCCAAAGAGGCGAAAGAUAGAUUGGACGAGCGGCUGAGAAACCCGCGAAGAAGGUUUGGUUUGUUUAAACAAGUGUAUGAUAGCAAACCAAGUCCUAAUUCACCUUAAAAUGCACCGAACCAGCUCAAGCCAUUUGCUUUAAUUCCUUGAUAAUGACACAUGAUGGUGUACUAUUAUUAUCUUUCUAACAUGUGGUAACACAUGAGCAUAUAAUUGUGAGAUUGCCUUUUGUCGGACAAUUAUUUUAUCCUUUUAGCGCUGACAGACUUUAUCGGCUGUGCGCAUUUUAGCAAGGGUUUCAAUUUAAUGUUAAGAUCACCAAAUUUGACAUUUACUUGUCCCGAUUUUUGCUUUAUAUUUUCAAGUUC